rnacentral:lncRNA from 1 species
UUUUUCUUUGCAAAAAAACUCUAAAUUUUCCUAAAAAGUGAGAUUUCAGAAAUCUUGAAAACUUCAAGUCUCCUCAUUUUUUUUUUGAUUCUUCACAAGAUUAAAAACAUGUUUUGAAAGAGGGGAUUUUUCUAUCCUUUAGCUGGACUUCUUGGUUUCAAGCCGGUUUUCUUUGGAUUUGGAUUUCUUGGGGUCAAUUUCUGGGGUUUGUUGCUGCUGGAUCUUGCCGUUUCUCUCACCUAGUUUAUUUUAAGAAGGCUUUUGUUUUCUUUGUUAGUUGGCUGACAAAGGUACACCUUUGGACUCACAUGUUGGUUUAGGUUCCUUUUAUGUAUUCUUUGUCUAGAUGUUUAAAUGAGUUGUUCUUGGUUGUUAAAUGUCUCAAGCUUAUUUGUUCUUUGUUACCAUGAUUCUCUUUAAAAAUGUCUUCAUUUGUUACUUCAUCUAGCAUGCCUAAGCAUUUUUACAUAGCUCAACUUCUCAUAUGUGCUGGACUGGUUUGAGCAUGAACUCCUAUUUGCUGAAACAACCCCUCUUAAAUUACUCAUUUAGUUAAUGUUAAACUUGCAUUGAUUCAUUGUUUUCUUAUAUGUACUAAUGGCUACAAUGUCACCGUUGUUUUUGUGUUGGUAUGUGAGAUGGCCCCAAGGCAAAUAAUGUCAAAGUUGAAGUUGGAAAUGGGGAUUUGUGAGAGGAAGUUCCCUAGCUGUUCUUUUUCAAGUAAACACAUUGUAGGAGAGGACCUAAGGAGAGAAGAUAAACCAGAAGUUAGAAUGAAGAGUCUAUUUUUGAGAAUUUUAAUACUCGUUUUGAAAGUAGUAUGAUAAGUUACAAAAAUAGAUAUUUUUGUAUAUUCUGGACCUUAAGCAUUGUUGAUGGACUUCUAUAACUCUAUAAAUUCGAUUUUUUCCUUUCUUUGGAUUGUGUAGUACUGGGUCACUACAGUUAGACCCUUUGUUUUAUUUUAUGAGCAUGUCUUAUAGUUGUAACUAGGCUAGGCUUGUAACGAGGCUCAAGUUGGGACCUAUUCGAGCAAGUCAGAGGAUUAGGCUAUUGAGCCUGGGCCAUAAGCCCAUUAGUUUAGUAAGUUUUAAAAUUCGUCUCAUGAAUUGUAGUAUAAAUGCAUUCCUCUAUUAUUUUUCUUUUGCAAAUCAUAG